rnacentral:rRNA from 1 species
UACAGAGGUCCCGAGCGUUGUUCGGAUUCACUGGGCGUAAAGGGUGCGUAGGUGGCUUGAAAAGUUUGAUGUGAAAGCUCGGGGCUUAACCCUGAAAUGGCAUUGAAUACUGUCGAGCUGGAGGUUUGGAGGGGGGACUGGAAUUCUUGGUGUAGCAGUGAAAUGCGUAGAUAUCAAGAGGAACACCAGGGGCGAAGGCGAGUCCCUGGACAACACCUGACACUGAGGCACGAAAGCUAGGGGAGCAAACAGG